AUUUAAAUAGUUUAAAAAACAUUACAUUUUCAUUGUAAAAUUGAAUCAAUUCUUUAA
rnacentral:tRNA from 1 species